rnacentral:rRNA from 1 species
UAGAGUUUUGAUCCUGGCUCAGGAUGAACGCUGGCGGCGUGCUUAACACAUGCAAGUCGAACGAUGAAGCCCAGCUUGCUGGGUGGAUUAGUGGCGAACGGGUGAGUAACACGUGAGUAACCUGCCCUUAACUCUGGGAUAAGCCUGGGAAACUGGGUCUAAUACCGGAUAGGAGCGUCCACCGCAUGGUGGGUGUUGGAAAGAUUUAUCGGUUUUGGAUGGACUCGCGGCCUAUCAGCUUGUUGGUGAGGUAAUGGCUCACCAAGGCGACGACGGGUAGCCGGCCUGAGAGGGUGACCGGCCACACUGGGACUGAGACACGGCCCAGACUCCUACGGGAGGCAGCAGUGGGGAAUAUUGCACAAUGGGCGAAAGCCUGAUGCAGCGACGCCGCGUGAGGGAUGACGGCCUUCGGGUUGUAAACCUCUUUCAGUAGGGAAGAAGCGAAAGUGACGGUACCUGCAGAAGAAGCACCGGCUAACUACGUGCCAGCAGCCGCGGUAAUACGUAGGGUGCGAGCGUUAUCCGGAAUUAUUGGGCGUAAAGAGCUCGUAGGCGGUUUGUCGCGUCUGUCGUGAAAGUCCGGGGCUUAACCCCGGAUCUGCGGUGGGUACGGGCAGACUAGAGUGCAGUAGGGGAGACUGGAAUUCCUGGUGUAGCGGUGGAAUGCGCAGAUAUCAGGAGGAACACCGAG